rnacentral:misc_RNA from 1 species
GAUGAAGAACGCAGCGAAAUGCGAUAAGUAAUGUGAAUUGCAGAAUUCAGUGAAUCAUCGAAUCUUUGAACGCACAUUGCGCCCGCUAGUAUUCUGGCGGGCAUGCCUGUCCGAGCGUCAUUUCAACCAUCAAGCCCCGGGCUUGUGUUGGGGACCUGCGGCUGCCGCAGGCCCUGAAAACCAGUGGCGGGCUCGCUAGUCACACCGAGCGUAGUAGCAUACACAUCGCUCAGGGCGUGCUGCGGGUUCCGGCCGUUAAACCCCUUUUUUACCCAAGGUUGACCUCGGAUCAGGUAGGAAGACCCGCUGAACUUAAGCAUAUCAAUAAGCGGAGGA